rnacentral:rRNA from 1 species
UGGGGAAUAUUGGACAAUGGGCGCAAGCCUGAUCCAGCCAUGCCGCGUGAGUGAUGAAGGCCCUAGGGUUGUAAAGCUCUUUCACCGGUGAAGAUAAUGACGGUAACCGGAGAAGAAGCCCCGGCUAACUUCGUGCCAGCAGCCGCGGUAAUACGAAGGUGGCUAGCGUUGUUCGGAUUUACUGGGCGUAAAGCGCACGUAGGCGGACUUUUAAGUCAGGGGUGACAUCCCGGGGCUCAACCCCGGAACUGCCUUUGAUACUGGAAGUCUUGAGUAUGGUAGAGGUGAGUGGAAUUCCGAGUGUAGAGGUGAAAUUCGUAGAUAUUCGGAGGAACACCAGUGGCGAAGGCGGCUCACUGGACCAUUACUGACGCUGAGGUGCGAAAGCGUGGGGAGCAAACAGG